CCUACGGGUGGCUGCAGUGGGGAAUAUUGGACAAUGGGCGAAAGCCUGAUCCAGCCAUGCCGCGUGUGUGAAGAAGGCCUUCGGGUUGUAAAGCACUUUCAGUGGGGAAGAAAGCCUUGGGGCUAAUACCCUCGAGGAAGGACAUCACCCACAGAAGAAGCACCGGCUAACUCCGUGCCAGCAGCCGCGGUAAUACGGAGGGUGCGAGCGUUAAUCGGAAUUACUGGGCGUAAAGCGCGCGUAGGCGGUCUGAUAAGCCGGUUGUGAAAGCCCCGGGCUCAACCUGGGAACGGCAUCCGGAACUGGCAGGCUAGAGUGCAGGAGAGGAAGGUAGAAUUCCCGGUGUAGCGGUGAAAUGCGUAGAGAUCGGGAGGAAUACCAGUGGCGAAGGCGGCCUUCUGGACUGACACUGACGCUGAGGUGCGAAAGCGUGGGUAGCAAACAGGAUUAGAUACCCGUGUAGUC
rnacentral:rRNA from 1 species